GACGAACCGUGCGAACGUUGUUCGGAAUCACUGGGCGUAAAGGGCGCGUAGGCGGCGCGGUAAGUCACUUGUGAAAUCUCUGAGCUUAACUCAGAACGGCCAAGUGAUACUGCAGUGCUAGAGUGUGGAAGGGGCAAUCGGAAUUCUUGGUGUAGCGGUGAAAUGCGUAGAUAUCAAGAGGAACACCUGAGGUGAAGACGGGUUGCUGGGCCAACACUGACGCUGAGGCGCGAAAGCCAGGGGAGCAAACGGGG
rnacentral:rRNA from 1 species